GGCGGCAUAGCUCAGUGGCUAGAGCAACCGGUUCAUACCCGGUAGGUCAUAAGUUCAAAUCUCAUUGCCGCCACCA
rnacentral:tRNA from 1 species